AUUGCACGCUGGCGGCAUGCCUUACACAUGCAAGUCGAACGGCAGCGGGGGAGAAGCUUGCUUUUCCUGCCGGCGAGUGGCGAACGGGUGAGUAAUACAUCGGAACGUGCCCUGUAGUGGGGGAUAACUAGUCGAAAGAUUAGCUAAUACCGCAUACGACCUGAGGGUGAAAGUGGGGGACCGCAAGGCCUCAUGCUAUAGGAGCGGCCGAUGUCUGAUUAGCUAGUUGGUGGGGUAAAGGCCUACCAAGGCGACGAUCAGUAGCUGGUCUGAGAGGACGAUCAGCCACACUGGGACUGAGACCCGGCCCAGACUCCUACGGGAGGCAGCAGUGGGGAAUUUUGGACAAUGGGCGAAAGCCUGAUCCAGCAAUGCCGCGUGUGUGAAGAAGGCCUUCGGGUUGUAAAGCACUUUUGUCCGGAAAGAAAUGGCUCUGGGCUAAUACCCCGGGGUAAUGACGGUACCUGAAGAAUAAGCACCGGCUAACUACGUGCCAGCAGCCGCAGUAA
rnacentral:rRNA from 1 species